rnacentral:rRNA from 1 species
UACGUAGGGGGCAAGCGUUAUCCGGAAUCACUGGGUGUAAAGGGAGCGUAGACGGCUGAGCAAGCCUGAAGUGAAAGGCGGGGGCCCAACCCCUGGACUGCUUUGGGAACUGUACGGCUGGAGUGCAGGAGAGGUAAGUGGAAUUCCUAGUGUAGCGGUGAAAUGCGUAGAUAUUAGGAGGAACACCAGUGGCGAAGGCGGCUUACUGGACUGUAACUGACGUUGAGGCUCGAAAGCGUGGGGGGCAAACAGG